rnacentral:lncRNA from 1 species
CCUGGACUACUAAUAAGAGGAAGAAGAAAUGAGAACUAAAGGAAGCAAGGAUGGCAAGACUUCCCUAGUAGAUCCAGGCAACGUCGUGAAGAAUAAAAACAGAGUUAAAAUUGGGACUGGUACGCUGCUGAUGGCUUGCUUUUGUUAAGGUAUUUGCAUAAAUCUACCCCAGCUUUAUAUUAUUUGGAAAUUCCUUGUUUACCAUCCCAGUAGGAGGUCCUUGUAUAUCUGCAUGCGGACUCCAGUGAUUGGGCGCUUACUAGUUACGAGAGGCAGCCGUCCGGAGGGUGUCCAGCUUGGACGGCUGGCUGUUCUUUCUGCUCUUUUACUUGUCCAUAACUUCCACCCAGUGGUCUUAGUUUCCCCUUGGAAGUGGAACUGACUGAGUGCCAUCCUUAUUUCACUUGGCCGAGUCCAAGCUGCAGCCCAUGGUAGAAGCUGCAAGAGCUGGGCAGAGUUCCAGGCGAGAGGGGCCGAGAGGCGUGAGCGGCGCUCCACAGCGCUUGUCAGAGAAAUGGAGCAGCGGCUUCUUUGUGGGCUGGUACAUCCCCCUCCUGGGUGCACAGCGGGGACAUUUGAUCUUCGGGGGUGAUUGAUAAGUGCGGGAGAGGGCCCUCCGUCCCGUCCCUCGCUCCCGCCUUCCACUCUCUUCCCUCCAGAUCUUCUUUCCUCCUCCCUCUCGACUCCCUCCCUCUUUCCUUCCAGAAGCGCUGCCCUGGCGAGCAGCUCCAGUGGGGAUCUGCCUGCCUUGGGGACACCGCCCGCACACCCGCCUAUGCCCUGGCUCCCUGGCCACACUGGUCCUAGGCAGUGCCGGCUCCUGCGCCUCCCUGAAUCGCAGAUGCUGCGGGUGCCUCCAGGGGAAGAUCCUGGCGGCAGGAUCGCUCGCUGGAUUUUACUAUUUCCCUUUCACGUCACAUUCAGCUUCUAAAGGGUGUGAGCUACAGCACAAACGGUUCCAGCCAACAGAAUGCAGUUCCCAGGGCCCUGCCUGUAACAGAUCUAGAUGUCUGAACCUACAAUGGCAAAUGGGCACUUCUGGGUGUGGGAGCCUAAGGAUUUGGAGCUGGCUCUCAUAGCCCACUCUUAUCUACUCCUUCUCUGAGCCCUCAGCAAGGCUGAGAACUGCUUAUGAAGACAUCAAGUGGUUCACACAGCCUAAGGUAUAUAUGUGCAAGGCUAAGGAAGAAGUAAAUAACAAAGAAGGUAAAAA